ACACACCGAGCCCAGCCUCCUGGACGUCCGUUCAAACGUGUCCGACCGAGCAAAGCUCGACCACGGUGAGGUCAGCAUCGACCGGGAUGCACAGUGUACAGUAUUGCAGCGUUUAGUUUCCAGGUGGGUGAAUCAGAUGAGCCACAUGCAGAUGUGUCUGUUGCACCCCCUCUGCGGUUAGAGGUUCUUCUGAAACUGCCGCAUUAUCAGGUGGAAUAAGCGUGCAGCAGGCCCUGCUCCUCCUCCUCCUCCUCCUCCUCUUUACAGACGUCGUUUCCUGAGUAUUCGCAUUCCUCUGGCUCAGCGCAGCGGGAAAGAACAGGAGCCUGGUGAUGUAAGAGGCUGCAGCCUACACAUCCUCACAACGUCAGACUCGGGU